rnacentral:sRNA from 1 species
UGUUUGCGUUAAGGAUGGAAGCGGCAUCCUUUUAUGAAUCUCGUUUUUUAACGAGAGGAAUAAAAGAUAUAGCGUACAGCCUGACCUCGU